AUGUGUGGACUUGGAGCCCUGGGCGUCCCUGCUCUCCCCGCUGGUGUCUGUGUGACAUCCACUCCCCUUCCUGCACUGGCGCAGACCCUGCGGCUCCAGCGGCUUGGCUUCCGCCUAUAUUCUUUGUUAAACUUGUUCCAAGAAUCUACCAAAGGAAAAAAGCCAUCCUUUCCUGAAGUGACUUUCGUAAAACUGGCUCACUGCACAAGAACACAAGUGUGAUGAUCGCUGUAUCUGUCAGUCCAUAUGGUCAAUUUACCCAGGUCCUUCUCACUAUUGUGACUGUAAGACUUUGAAAUGAUAUGAUAAGUGUGACUGGGGUAUUCUCUAAGGCUUCUUCAUUCACUUAAACGUUACUAGAAAAGGAACAGAUAGGGGACACAGGUAAUUUGUCUUUCUGAUUCCUUUUGUGUGUGUCUUUGUUCCAUCCUCAUUUUCACUUUCUUUCUCUCUUUCUCUCAGGUCAUCUAUUCAAGUGGUCUCUAUAGUUUUCAUUCAAUAUGGCAGCCUUUGGACAAGUAAAUUUCUGGUUGGUGUCUGAAAACUCAGGAUUGUGGGGAGCAACUCGGACUAUACUGUUACUGGAAUUAAGACUUAUUCUAUGCAUCUGCUCUCCCACAAUAUGGCGCUGGGAGAGGAGAAAACAGCUUCUACGCAGCUGCCUCUUGCCAACUUGAGUGCUGACCUCCAGGAGCUGAUCCUGCUCCUGAUUGGAGGAGAGCAGCGUACUCGGCGUGUGGGCAGCCGAGUUGGGAUUGGCGGAGGAGGACUAUAAAAGAGGUGAGAGAUGGCAUGCACCAGGAACAUCUAAGGGGAACAUCUAAGGGGAACACCUGUGCAGCCCCCGAGAGAGCCGGCCAGCGGUGUGCCGCUCCCCCGCGGAAGUGGGGAAUCGCCCUUCCACGGAGGUGGAAGGGUCGGUAGCCAACCCGGGAAGAACCAGCAGCAAACCCGGGGAGGGCCGAGCAGACAAAAGAACAGCGCAGGGUCCUGUGUCGUUCCUCCACGAAGAGGGGGAGCGACAAGGAUGAAUGUUUCAAGACAGAAAGCAAGACAUAGGUGAAUGACAUUUGGAAUAACUAGCAUCUAACCUAGACCAAGUCUCAUAGGAUCACCUAUGUCCAGCUUACCCCAUGUUUUCAGGUUUCAUCUUUGUUCAGAUGGCAAAAUUCUUCAACUGUUGAGAUUUCACUGGACUUCUACCAGGUGUUUUGCUAGGAUGACACAUGACAGAAACUUGGUAUACAUUUGAAAAUUAACAGGAGGCUGUCUGCAUUAUUAAAUCCUGGUAAGUUGUGUGUUUCUAGUAAUCCAUCCAUCUCAAUUAAGUUGUUAAAUUUAUUGAUAUACAAUUUUCACAAUAGUAUUUUAUUUCUGUAUAGUGGUAUAAUUUCUACUCUUCAAUUUCUGGUUUUGCUUGUCUGACUCUUCUCUCUUAAUAUAGCUAAAUAUUUGUCAAUUUUUUUUAUCUUUUUGAAGAAUCAACACUUUACUGAUUUUUUUCCAGUUGGUUUUCUGAUCUCUAUUUUGUUCUUAAGACAGUGUACAUCGAUAAUAAAAGACUAGAGACAGAAAAAAUUGGGUCUACG
rnacentral:lncRNA from 1 species